rnacentral:piRNA from 1 species
UACGGCUGCCUCUGGUGCUGAACGGUGGA